GCAGCAGCAGAACUGCUGCUGCUGCUGACUGCAUAAGAAGCAGCAGCAGUAACAGCAGCUGCAAGGGCAGUAUGAGAAAGAAAGAAAGAGAGAGAGGGAGAAAAAGAAAAAGAGAAAAAGAUAGAAGGAAUGAAUGAAAGAUUGAAGAAAAGAGGAAGGAAAUGAGAUACUGAAAAGAUAGUGACAUUGGCGCAAUUCACACCCCUAUUAUCACCAAAUUGGACCUUACAGGGUAUCAAGGCAUGUGAUCUAGUUUGUGACGCACGUCCGGCUAAUCGAAUUGUAAGUGUUUUCAGGCAAUCAUGAGCUGAGGAUGUACGUGAGUAGUACUUUCCUUGCCUGAGCCGAUGUAGCCGUUGAGGGGUUCGUAUACUGUCAGUUGAUCAAGGUGAGGGGGAUCGCACAGUAGUUAGCAUCUCCUACCAGCAUGCCUUUUCAGUAGAGGACCACCAGAUAGAGUGCUAUGUUGUACGAGCUGCCUACACUGGCGAGGGUCUGGGCUGUUUUCGUGUACUUUUCUUUUGAGGUUGAGGGUCAUUUUGGUGUUGUUCGUGUUGUACAACAACUUAUUUUGGGAAUAGCGCUCUGAUACAUGUUAUUUGUUUAUUCGGUACCUUUUCUUGAUUCAUGUGUUGUGGAUACCCCUCAUGUUUGAUCUC